rnacentral:misc_RNA from 1 species
GUGGAUCCAAGAAACUAGCCAGACUCCCAAAUCUCCGUUCGGCUGCAAACUUAGAGCAGAUAUGUCUUAUGGGGUGUGAGAGAUUGCGUGAGAUUCCCUCUUCAAUUCGCUUUCUCCACAAACUUGAUUAUCUUAACCUUUAUGGGUGCAAAAAGCUAAGGAGUCUUAAAUCUGUGGUAUCUUUCUCUGUCCUUCUGCAUAAAUUUGAAGCAAAUUUCAGAAAUUCCGAGUGUUAUUGAACAGUUAGAUCUACUAGAAUGUGGAAUGGAAGAAUGGUCCACAGCUAUUCAAUCUCUAGACAAUCUUGAAUACCUUCCUAUUUCGAU